GAGCUAAUGAUGAGAAACAUAAAUAUCUUAGCGGAUUUCAGUGAGAUUUUUAAUCAAUGAUCUGAUUGUUACACACACUGAAGCUCUUAGUAAUUUUUUUUUUAAUUCAAAAUGGGAUGUAAAUAAUAAUAAUAAUAAUAGCAGUGAUGAGGUAAAACACAUGAGGAUGUGUUAAGGGAAGUGGUCAAGACGAUUAAAACCGUUUUGCCGUGAUCCCCAAUUUAAACGACUUCUCCUUCCACUGAGCUUU
rnacentral:lncRNA from 1 species